rnacentral:lncRNA from 1 species
AUUUAAAUGAGUAGUUAUUGUUGCAAACUUCAUUAGAAAUUUGAAUUGAGAUCAGUUUUGAAAUAAGGGAAAGGGGGAUGUGAAAAAAAAAUUUGGGGGGUCAAUUUUUUUCAUUUCAGAUUUCAUAAAUAAAAAGAAAAUUUAUUCAAACAUUUUUUUGAGAGGAUUAAUAUUCAACAGCAUAGUGAAUUGCUCAAAGGCAAAACAAAAAUUUUAAGUUCAUUAGACCACAUUCAUUCUGUGUCAGAAACCUAUGCUGUGUCAACUAUUUAAUCACAAUCCAAAUUUAGAGGUGAAUCCAGCUUGAAUGUUGUGUCCAUACUUGCCCCAACCGUUCAGGGUUCAACCUCUGCGGUCGUAUAAAGCUGCGCCCUGCGGAGCAUCUGGUUAGUC